CCUACGGGAGGCAGCAGUGGGGAAUAUUGCGCAAUGGGCGAAAGCCUGACGCAGCGACGCCGCGUGAGGGAUGAAGGUCUUCGGAUCGUAAACCUCUGUCAGCAGGGAAGAACGGUAACUGUGCUAAUCAGCAGUGAAUUGCCGGUACCUGCAAAGGAAGCACCGGUGAACUCCGUGCCAGCAGCCGCGGUAAUACGGAGGGUGCGAGCGUUAAUCGGAAGUACUGGGCGUAAAGGGCUCGUAGGCGGUAUGUCAAGUCAAGGGUGAAAGCUCCGCGCUCAACGUGGGAACUGCAUUUGAAACUGGCGAGCUGGAGUGUAUGAGAGGAUGGUGGAAUUCCUGGUGUAGGAGUGAAAGCCGUAGAUAUCUGGAGGAACAUCAGUGGCGAAGGCGACUCUCUGGCACAUAACUGACGCUGAGGAGCGAAAGCGUGGGUAGCAAACAGGAUUAGAUACCCCUGUAGUC
rnacentral:rRNA from 1 species